rnacentral:rRNA from 1 species
GAUGAACGCUGGCGGCGUGCCUAAUACAUGCAAGUCGAGCGAACGGACGAGAAGCUUGCUUCUCUGAUGUUAGCGCCGGACGGGCGAGUAACCCGUGCAUCACCUACCUAUCAGACCGGGAUCACCUCGCGCAACCGCACCUAACACCGCAUGACCCUCUCAACCGCCCGGUUCAAAACUCAAAGACGGUCUUGCCGUCACUUAUAGAUGGAUCCGCGCCGCAUUAGCUAGUUGGGAAGGUAACGGCUUACCAAGGCAACGAUGCAUAGCCGACCUGAGAGGGUGAUCGGCCACACUGGAACUGAGACGCGGUCCAGACUCCUACGGGAGGCAGCAGUAGGGAAUCUUCCGCAAUGGGCGAAAGCCUGACGGAGCAACGCCGCGUGAGUGAUGAAGGUCUUCGGAUCGUAAAACUCUGUUAUUAGGGAAGAACAUAUGUGUAAGUAACUGUGCACAUCUUGACGGUACCUAAUCAGAAAGCCACGGCUAACUACGUG